rnacentral:tRNA from 1 species
UCCUCGGUAGCUUAGUUGAUAAAGCCCUUGUCUAGCAUACAAUAGUUCUGGGUUCAAGUCCCAGCCGAGCAC